AUGCCCCAGCAGAGAAAGUGCACCAUCGCCUACAACACAAUCAUCACUGCUUAUGUGAAAGCCAAGGAUAUUUUCACCGCACGCCAUCUGUUUGAUGAAAUGCAGCGGUUCAAGCGCUCCAGGAGAAGCAUGGUUUCCUGGAAUGCUAUGAUCGCAGGGUGUACUUGGUGUGGGAGGGACGACAUGGCAGUGCGGUAUUUCCAAGACAUGGUGAGGGAGGGCAAGGUGGCGCCAGAUGAUGGGACCCUUGCCGUGGUGCUGCCUGCUUGUGGGAGGACGGGGAAUGCUGCUGCCGGGAGGUGGGCGCACGAGUAUGCAUGCAAGAUGGGUAUCUUAGACAGCUCGGUGCAUGUUGCUAAUGCGGUGGUAGAUAUGUAUUGCAAGUGUGGCGAUGUGAGCAGCGCAAGAGAGGUGUUCGAAGGGAUGCAACAGCGGACUGUGGUGAGCUGGAACACAAUGAUCUCUGGAUUUUCAUUGAAUGGGCAAGGGAUUAAGGGGAUUGAGCUGUUCCGGCAGAUGGUGAGGCCCGGAGGGGAGCCUAAUUCAGUGACUUUCCUGGGGGUGCUUGGUUGCUGUGCCCAUGCCGGGGCAGUAGAUACUGGGCAGGUGAUCUUCCAGAUUAUGCAGUCAGAGCAUGGGAUUGAGCCGGGAAUUGAACAUUAUGGAUGUAUGGUAGAUUUACUUGGAAGGUCCGGCCUUCUCGAAGAGGCACAUGCGCUGAUUCAAGGGAUGCCAAUGAGCCCUAAUUCUGCAAUAUGGGGAUCACUUCUAAGCGCCUGCCGUGCCCAUGCUGGGCUCGGCAUUGCCGAGGUGGCUCUCAAAGAGCUUAUUAGUCUGGAACCUUGGAAUUCAGGGAACUAUAUGCUGUUGGCCAAUCUUUAUGCAGAAACACAACGUUGGGAGGAGGCAGGUGAUGUGAGGAAACUGAUGAGGAGGAUGAGUGUGCAAAAGGCACCAGGGCAGAGCCUAAUUGAAGAACCAAGUUCAAGUUGA
rnacentral:rRNA from 1 species